rnacentral:rRNA from 2 species
CGAUGGCGACCGGCGCACGGGUGAGUAACACGUAUCCAACCUGCCGUCUACUCUUGGACAGCCUUCUGAAAGGAAGAUUAAUACAAGAUGGCAUCAUGAGUCCGCAUGUUCACAUGAUUAAAGGUAUUCCGGUAGACGAUGGGGAUGCGUUCCAUUAGAUAGUAGGCGGGGUAACGGCCCACCUAGUCUUCGAUGGAUAGGGGUUCUGAGAGGAAGGUCCCCCACAUUGGAACUGAGACACGGUCCAAACUCCUACGGGAGGCAGCAGUGAGGAAUAUUGGUCAAUGGGCGAGAGCCUGAACCAGCCAAGUAGCGUGAAGGAUGACUGCCCUAUGGGUUGUAAACUUCUUUUAUAAAGGAAUAAAGUCGGGUAUGGAUACCCGUUUGCAUGUACUUUAUGAAUAAGGAUCGGCUAACUCCGUGCCAGCAGCCGCGGUAAUACGGAGGAUCCGAGCGUUAUCCGGAUUUAUUGGGUUUAAAGGGAGCGUAGAUGGAUGUUUAAGUCAGUUGUGAAAGUUUGCGGCUCAACCGUAAAAUUGCAGUUGAUACUGGAUAUCUUGAGUGCAGUUGAGGCAGGCGGAAUUCGUGGUGUAGCGGUGAAAUGCUUAGAUAUCACGAAGAACUCCGAUUGCGAAGGCA